GAAAAACCCUUGAAUGAGUAGGUGUCCAAACUUUUGACUGGUACUGUACAUGCAUAUCAGUGCAGAGAACCACCUACCAUUGCCCAGGUGCUGAAAUUAAUAAAGAUUUAAUUUGUGUCAACUUCUUCACAUGGGGGCAAUUCAUAAUAAACUCAAGACAAAACCAGAUUUUCCAUUAAAACAAAAGUUUAUUCUCUGUAAUUUUAUUAUAAUAAGACACUUCUCUGCUUGUACAUUGCUCCCUUGAACUUAAAAAAUGGCAACAUUUGUGGGAAUGUAAGUUGGGGUAGACAAAAACGUUGAUAUAUACACAUGUAUAUAUUGGUAUGUUACGGUUCCAUUAAUAAACCAUAAAUUAUAGAACAGCUUUAACCACUCCAGGUACCUUGGUAAUGCUGUAAAUAUAGUACAAUCUUUGAGGCUUUCAAGAAUACACUGUUUUCUUUAAACAUGGAUACAUACAAUAUGAGCACAUCAAUAGUAAGAGUUAAGGAAGGAUGCAGGGCUCAUAAGCCUGUGUUAAGUGUAUGGCUACCAAUGUUUUUUUUCUUCACAGGCAAGGCAAGCUGCACCCAUGGAUGUGGUAAUGCUUAGUAGAAGUCAGUGGAAAAUAAAAUGUACCCACUUCAUUUUUGCCUACCUUGGUGUAUGGCAAAAAUGGCAGUAUACCCAAGUAACUGAUUAUGUACUUAAUUUGGAUAAACAUAUACUUUAAUGUAUAUACAUAAAUGUAUAAGAAAGAACUGUAGAAUUGUCUUAAUAUAGUUCUUAAAACUAAGUGUGGGCAAACAAGGCAAAAGUGUUUGCCAUUCACAUGACCUCCCCCCCAAAAAGUAUACAGACACCAGAAAUGCAUGCACACACAAAUGCACACUCAAAUGCCCUACUCAAAACAUCCCAAAGCUAAUCUUAAAAUGGUGGCUGUCAGUAAACAAACAAACCCCAACUUACAAGCAGUGAAAAAUGUAUGCAGAUAAAUAAAAUAAAGUUAUAAUCUUAUCCAUUUCAACUUGGAUGCCGCCCCCAUCAAAUUUUCAAAACAAGCUGUAAGCCAUUUUGUGAAUCUGUCAGUCUACAUCAAAAGUUCUAAACCCAUGUAUUCCCUGUAACACUCUAAGAGAAUAGUAUUAUACCUUGCAAAUGUAUUUGGACAUUUGAGAAAUCAGUGGUGUGACAUCACCUUGGCCAUUUUCCACCAUAGUCCAAGAUUCAGUUCAAUUGAGCUAUAUAGUUGCCACCGAGGUUUUGGAAAGGUUGUCUUGAAAUAAUGUACACUUUGAAAAUACUUCCUCAAUAUGGAGCUCUUGCCAGCCCGACUUUUGUUACAGGGGUCUCUUCUACAGCACAGUGCAGUUGUAUUUGAGUAGAGCGCCUUCCUACAUUGAGUAGGACAGCAUGAAUAUAGUAGUACAAUACUCUUGAUGGCCAAACUUAGCACUCUGGAACCAGAGUACGACACCUGCUGCAUAAUGUAACAAAUCUGUUCAAUAAAAAUACACCAACAAGUUUUUUAUACUAAUAGGAGUGGACUCAUUUAUCAAUUGAAGAAAAUAAAAAAAUUCGAAAAGAAAAUAGUCAAACGGUAUCUUAAAAUAAGAGCAUAUAACUUUAUAUUUCUUUCUCGCAACAUGACUUGCAUUUUCAUUGAACAAAUGUUUCCCUGACCAGAAGUUUCAUGUGAAAGUAUCUUGAGAAAAAAAAUUGCCUCCACAGAAAAUGUAUUUGUUUUAUUUUUAUAUAAAGCAUUCAAGCUAUUAAUUCAGUGUUCUUAGGGUAAACAAACUUGAUGAAUAGGAGAAUCUUUCUUCCGCAAAACGUCCUUUUUUGCAGUGUAUAUAACAGGGCUCUCCAACCCUGUUCCUGGAGCACUACUGUCCUGUAGAAUUUCACACCAACCCUAAUCUAGCACACACGUUUCUCAAAAUUAGCUAGUUGAUAAACUGAACCAGGUUAGUUACAACUGGGGUUGGAGCGAAAAACUACAGGAGGGUAGCUCUCCAGGAAUAAGGUUGAGACCCUUGGUAUAGAACGUCUGUAGCUUGUGAGAAGAGAAUGCUACGUUGAGAGGACCUUUUAUCUAACAGGAACAAAAGAGCAACAGAAAGUAAUAAGAGCAGGUCAACAAUAACAAAAUCACACCGUCUAGUUCUGAACAAGCAGCAAAGACAUUGAUAUUAGAGACAACAAUCAAUGUGAGGAGAGUGUGGAUGGGUGAGCAGUAGUACUUCAACUGGCCUGUUGUGGCUGUCACAGUAAUUAAAGAGAUGUACUUGUUCGUCGGGAGAUCAAAAACUCAGAGGGAGGUGGGGGGGGUAUUGUAUAAAAAGUUAUUUUAAAGACCUGCUUUGCAGAAGAAAAAUACACACCCCUAACUUUUUAAGGGGGGGGGGGGGGGCUGAAACAAAACUGACAAGAGGCAAAGAGGGGAAACAAAACAAAGUUAAUUAUUUUGUAUAAAUCUAUGGUACAAUUGUUCUCGUUAAAAUAAGAACCUGCACCCCCCCACCCCACGUGGGAAAAUAUAAUGCAGAUAACUGCCCUACAGAAUACCACCCCAGCCCAAAGCGUGGUAGAAAUAUACACAGGUACAUAAAUAUAAAAAUCUGCCUUCUCCUGGUUAGCCAAUUUAUCCAACAUGUUUAUCAUGACAUGUUUAACAUAUCAUACUGCAUACACACAAACUACUGCGCGUGAUUGUGUAUGUCUGUUAUAUGUCAUAUUGUGCUUGUAAAUGCAAACACGUGUGUUGUUUUUUAAAAAAUGUUUUCGGUCAAAAGGUGUGUGUUCAAAACGAACAAGCGUGUCUGCUGAUCCUAAAUCGGGGUGGAAUUCUGAAGGGUGGUGGUGGGUACAACUGAAAAGGGGGGAGCAGAGUGACACUUUACAAUAACGGACGGUAGAUAGUAGAUGGAUGAAGAGCGAAAGAAGCCUAACGUGUGUACAUUGUCUCCAUAACUAUGUAUUGAACAAUAAUGUGCUAAUAUGUUAAGGGACGAGAACAGAGAGGCUGAAGGAACGACAGACAAAGGGAUAAAUAACAGUGGGGCGGGGUGGAUGCAUUUGAAAUGUUUCCAGAUCUUCCACUUCACUUCCUGUUUUUGGGGGAGGGCCAGUUUCCACGGCGCUCGCCGCGUUGGCCCCCUCCGUUUCCGGCUCCGCCUCCACCACCACUGGGCGGGCCCCGUGGGCCUCUUCCUUCUCUUCCCUCUCUUCCUCCAGCAUUGACCCUCCUGUUCUGUCGCUCCAUCCCGGGACGCUGGCUGGAGAAGCUUCUCUUGUUGGCCGCCUGCUCUUUCGCCGUCAUCUCUCGCUCAACGACCCCUCCUCCUCCCCCGCCUCCACCACCUCCUCUUCCGGGUGGGUGAUGAUGGUGAUGGGAGGAAUAGGACUUGCCCCCUCCUCCCUCCCUCUCCCGGAACUCAGUGAAGUCACUGCUCUCAGAGGCGGUCUCCCACUCCUCAUUGGCCUGAUCGGAGUUCUGGUUGGAGAAGUCGGGGGAUUUGGCACCCCCUGCUGGGUUGUGGUGAUGCUGAGAUUGGGCCUGGCCGGAGAUGCCCUGGUUGUAGUGGUGGUGGUGGUGACUGUUUGCAUUAGCACUUCCAAGAUGGCCACCGGUACUGUUGUUGCUGUUGUUGGUAGCCGUGGUCGCAUUGGGGGCAUCGCCGGUUGUGGGCGCCGCGAUGGGAGUGCCGUCAGUGACAUCCUGAACAUAACUCUGUCCGGGCGAGGAGGGUCGUCCUCCUCCGAUGAUCCCGACUCCUCCGUUGAUGCGAGCGGCGUUCUCUCGCUCCUUCAGCCGCCGGAAGCGUGGUGGCUUAUCCUGUUGAUGCUGGGAGCGCCCGUGGCGACGGCGUCUCGGAGGGCGCUCAAAGCCAUCACGCGGGACGCGAGGGAAGCCACGCCCAUCCGGCCCAGAGAGAGGGAGUGGAAGGGGCCCGCUGGAGUUGGUAGUGGGGUUAGCCAUGGAUUGCUGGAUCCCAACUCCUCCGUUCUCUGUGGAGCCCUGUGGGGCUGGAGUAGGUGCAGCGGGGAUAGACUGCGGAGGGGUUGCUCCUCCCUGAUUCUGAGCUUGGCUUCCGUCCGCUGCCUUCUCCUUCUUCUCUCCACUGGUUCCACGACCCGUGUCUUUAGGUGCGGCCGACUGCAUUGGGGCCUGAUGCUUGCGGACCGAGGAUGAGGACUUGGAGGCCCAGCCGUGAGGGUCGGCCCUAGAUCCUGACCUGUGACCUCCAGCCAUUCCUCCUCCACCACCACUUUUAUAGAUACCUCCUCCCCCGCCACCUCCUCCCCCGCCACCUCCCCCCCCCUGCCCCUCCUGGAGGGCACACCUCUGGGGGUGAACACCCGGGCAUGGGAGCCUCUGGGUGGGCCGGAGCCGCUACCGGUAACGUUAUCUGUGCCGCUGCCGUUCUUGGUGCUGGACUUGCGGUCUUCUUUGUCCGACUGGGCUAGGUCGCUGGCGGCACUCUCGCUGCCCGUCUCUGACCCCCUCUGCCUCCUCCUCUUUGGGACCUCCUCAUAUUCAGAACCCUCGCUGCGGGUCUCGCUCUGAUUACGGGCACGCCCCGGGUUGGCCUGCGACCCCCCUCGGCCGCGCCUUCCCCCCCAAUGCCUCGUCGUAGCCUCCGCCGGAUCGGUAGUCUCGGCUGCUCCUGCUGCCCGCUGCCCUGCCACGGCUAACGCUGCCAGCCCCGGCCAUGCCCGUGUAGGUGCCUCGGUAACCCCGGCCGCGCCCGUAGAACUCGCCACCUCGCCCGACUCUGCUGCCACGGGCCGAGACGCUGUGGUAGGACGCACCACCGCCCCUCUCGAAGGAACGCUCUCUGUCCCGCCUGUUAGAGGGGUGGCCGGAGUACCCUGAUGAGGGGGUAGAGUUGACCCCAUUUUUGGGCCCCUUACCCACUCCUCCUCGUUCGUUUGCUGCUCGAUCCUUCCCUCCAUUUCUGGGUUUAGGACCGGUCUGAGCCGGCUCUUCUUUACCAGACACUGCAGCGAAGCUCUGUGGGCCGGAGGAUCCUUCCUGCUUGACUGAUGAAUGGCCUCCAUCUUGUCUUUCGUCUUUGUCUUUUCCGAAACCUCCGCUGGUCUUUUCUCCUCCCUCGCCCUCCCCUCCUCCCUCUCUCUUCAGCACAGGCCUCUUGAUAGGCCCCGCCCUCUUGUUGGUGUUGCCGCCUCCCGAUUGGCCACCGGCGGGUUUGUUGUGGUCAGACGCUGUUGGGUGAUUGGAUGAAUCCUCCCCUCCGCGGGAGUUUCCACCCAUUGCUCUCCUGUUGUGUGAGGAGGGGACCCCUGUGUUGCUGCUGCCAGGCCUUGGCCCCCACUGGGUCUCAGUCUUGUGUUCCCUCCCGCCUCGCUCCCUCUGGUUGGGCUUGGGGUCACGGUGGUGGUGCUGCUCCUGGCCCUGCCUCUGCUGCUGGGACUGAGGAUGGGACUGCUGAGAUGUCACAGAGGGCUGAGAGUGGCUGUGGACAGGGCCCAUCUUAUCCUGCUUCAUUUCUCUGCUGCUUCCUGCUUCAUGUCUCUGCCCGGUUUCUGUGUCGGCCUCGCGCUGAGGUGGGAGGUGAUGCAGGACCGCCUUUCCACUGCCGUCCUCCCUGGAUGAGGAAGAGGAGGAUGAGCAGGAGGAGAGGGACGGCUGUUGGAGCAAGGGCGAGGGGUCACCCUUCUUCGGGGCUUCGCCUCCUCUCUCGCUGCGGCCAUUCUCGGGCUUGUGGAGAUGGAGGGGGAAGGGGGCUUGAUGUUGUUGAUGACCAUGGUGUUGAGGGUGGUGGGAGUUGUUAUUCUCCAGGGGGGAGAGGUCAGUGCGCCCGUUGCGGUCGUAGUGGGGGCGAGGGGCCCCCCAGAUCUGGCCCUGUUGCUGGCCGCCCUUGUGGCCCUGGCCCUCAUCCUGGUGGCUGAAGCCUCCGCCACUCCCCCUUUGUUGCUGUUGCUGGUGGGGGGCCAUGCGGGAGCCCUGGUCGUGGAAGUUGCUGUAGUUGCCCCGGCCUCCCAUGUAAGACUGGUGGUGGUGACUGCCUCCUCCCUGGCCCCCCACCUGAGUGCCCACAGGUGGUGGGGUCUGGUUGGAGGAGCCCAAGCCAGAGUUGGGCUGCUGGAUGGGGCCUAGCCCUCCCUCUCGCAAACCACGGACUGGAGGGGUGUCACUCCUAAAAUAAAGACCAGAGAUUUUAUAAAAGACACUUACGGAAACCGCAUCCUGUACUUACAACACUGACUCAAUUCAAAUAUUUAUAAUCUAAUGUGAUUUCAACUAAUAUAUAUUUUCCUAUUCAAUCAGUAUUGUAUGAUCUGACAAUUAAAG
rnacentral:lncRNA from 1 species